GAUGAACGCUGGCGGCGUGCCUAACACAUGCAAGUCGAGCGAUUCUCUUCGGAGAAGAGCGGCGGACGGGUGAGUAACGCGUGGGUAACCUGCCCUGUACACACGGAUAACAUACCGAAAGGUAUGCUAAUACGAGAUAAUAUGCUUUUAUCGCAUGGUAGAAGUAUCAAAGCUUUUGCGGUACAGGAUGGACCCGCGUCUGAUUAGCUAGUUGGUAAGGUAACGGCUUACCAAGGCGACGAUCAGUAGCCGACCUGAGAGGGUGAUCGGCCACAUUGGAACUGAGACACGGUCCAAACUCCUACGGGAGGCAGCAGUGGGGAAUAUUGCACAAUGGGCGAAAGCCUGAUGCAGCAACGCCGCGUGAGCGAUGAAGGCCUUCGGGUCGUAAAGCUCUGUCCUCAAGGAAGAUAAUGACGGUACUUGAGGAGGAAGCCCCGGCUAACUACGUGCCAGCCGCCGCGGUAA
rnacentral:rRNA from 1 species